UACGUAGGGUGCGAGCGUUGCCCGGAAUUAUUGGGCGUAAAGAGCUUGUAGGCGGUUUGUCGCGUCUGCCGUGAAAAUUCGAGGCUCAACCUCGAACUUGCGGUGGGUACGGGCAGACUAGAGUGUGGUAGGGGAGACUGGAAUUCCUGGUGUAGCGGUGAAAUGCGCAGAUAUCAGGAGGAACACCGAUGGCGAAGGCAGGUCUCUGGGCCACUACUGACGCUGAGAAGCGAAAGCAUGGGGAGCGAACAGG
rnacentral:rRNA from 1 species